AUUGAACGCUGGCGGUAGGCCUAACACAUGCAAGUCGAACGCGAAAGUCCUUCGGGAUGAGUAGAGUGGCGGACGGGUGAGUAACGCGUAGGAAUCUAUCCUGUAGUGGGGGAUUACGUUGCGAAAGGAACGCUAAUACCGCAUACGCCCCAAGGGGGAAAGCGGGGGAUCUUCCGACCUCGUGCUAUCGGAGGAGCCUGCGUCGGAUUAGCUAGUUGGUGAGGUAAAGGCUCACCAAGGCGACGAUCCGUAGCUGGUCUGAGAGGAUGAUCAGCCAAACCGGAACUGAGACACGGUCCGGACUCCUACGGGAGGCAGCAGUGGGGAAUAUUGCGCAAUGGGCGAAAGCCUGACGCAGCCAUACCGCGUGUGUGAAGAAGGCCUUCGGGUUGUAAAGCACUUUCAGUGGGGAGGAAAAGCUGGUGGCUAAUAUCCAUCGGCCGUGACGCUACCCACAGAAGAAGCACCGGCUAAUUCCGUGCCAGCAGCCGCGGUAA
rnacentral:rRNA from 1 species